UACGGGGGGGGCAAGCGUUGUUCGGAAUUACUGGGCGUAAAGGGCUCGUAGGCGGCCAACUAAGUCAGACGUGAAAUCCCCAGGCUCAACCUGGGAACUGCGUCUGAUACUGGAUGGCUUGAAUCCGGGAGAGGGAUGCAGAAUUCCAGGUGUAGCGGUGAAAUGCGUAGAUAUCUGGAGGAAUACCGGUGGCGAAGGCAGCCUCCUGGGCCAGCACUGACGCUCAUGCACGAAAGCGUGGGGAGCAAACAGG
rnacentral:rRNA from 1 species